UAUCGCUAGGACGGAGACAAAGGAAGGGCGGUCGUAGACGGCAGGAAGUUGAGCCGUGGCUCAACUCGUGGGGCCCCUUCCUGAUCCGUGGCUCAGGAUUCGUGGUACUGUCGUCUCCUACCUUACCCUGCUGGAUUCAAUGGGUGGGAGUUGUGGAGACACCGUCGCCGCCGCCCGAUUCAGGCGAAUCCAUUGCCGGCUAUGGAAUUCCUUCUGCAGCUGAUUACUACUCCUAGAAGAUCCCCUUUGGUUGAGGAGGUGGAUGGAAGUCAUCUCUCCAUGGAUCUGCUGGAUAAAGGACGGCGACGUCUUUCAGGGCAGUGGAAGAGCCGCCGCCGGCAUCCUUUAGGGCAGACGUGCGGAACUGUCAGAAACAGGCAGGCGUGGAUGGACGACGGGAGAGCUCGGCCCAGUUGUCUGCAAAAUGGAUGCACCCUGGUGGUCAAAGAGGUUCGCUAGAAAACCAGAAAUCUAAAAUUUUGCCUGUGUCUGCUUCGUUGAUAAUGCUGGGAUCAAAGUAAUCUGGGAUGAGUAGAUCUGUGACAAUUCCCUUGGGGAUGGUAGCAAUGGAAACUGGUAGAGUUUUGAGUGUAUGUCAUGCUAUUAUUCUCUGCUGCUACAAAAACUUAGCAAAUGUACAUACUGCUUGAGGGAUGCUGUGAUUAUGAAUGAUUUGAGGCAGUGCACACAUUGAUGUCUCAUUCGGCAUUAAGCAUACAGAGUCGUUAAUUUUCUCAAGUAUUCUCCUUGGAUAUAUGCUAAUGGAGUUGCUUUGUUGCUUCAUUCUCCUCUCUGAAUUCAAGAUUUGGUUCAGCAGUGCCCACAGACCUUCCAGGUUUGCAGGAUUUCUGGUGUAUGUUGUCAUGGAUUCGAUGUCACGCAGGUCCAGGGAUUUUAGAAGGGCUAUUUAGUCCACAAUAGUUCUUGAGAAUUAUUUGUCAACCUAUACCCUGUAGCAGACAAACCGGAUAGAUACUUGCGAUACGAUCAACAGAAAUUUAGAAUUACCGGUUGCUAAUGGGCACGCAUGAACAAUCAAAUUUGUGUUCUUACUUCGUCCUUUUUGCAGUAUUUGAUGGAGAACAAUGAUUUCAUGGCCAUCGGAAUAAUUGGUCCACCUGGUUUGGCAUGUCAACCACCAUGAACGAGCUUUAUUGCAUUAUAUUCUUCCUUUGGAAUUAAUCUGUGUUCAUCUAAUUAAAAUACGGAUAAUUUGUUGAAGUAACAUAUGUGACCCAUCAUUUUAAACCUCAAUUAUCUUCACCAAACAAGGAAAAUAAAAUUGAUAACCUAUGAGGCAAUGAAGACAGCAUGGCCAAUCUCUGCUCUGUUUUCUGCACACAGGAAAAGUGACAAUGAACACUGGCCAAACAUAUGACCAAGAGUCCACAGGACCUAGAUCAUCGACUCUGCCCAGGCCGCUGCAGCAGUAGUGAGGAUCCCUUACAGUAUGAUAAUUGAUAUGCUAACAGAACUAGGAUUACCAAAGGUUUAAUAUCGUUAGAAAAUAUAUGACGGCAGCAAGGCCUGUGUCACUGUCUUUUGUAGCACUCCUAUGCUACUCCAUGAUAGUGAAUCUACCCGUGCAUCCAUAUCUACAGUCCUUUCCAUAGAUGAUGAUGCAGCAGAGGACACAGUUGCUAUUGAAGCUAAAGGUGCUUGGAAAACGCAACCAACACAGAGAUCGGACUACAAUAAAAAUCACAUGAAGCGCCUCCAAACCUGAAUGAGCAGCUCAUGCACCUGCUCAACAUAGUGAAUGGGAGCAAAGAAAAGCUUGCCAGGGGUUGAUUCCUUGCCGUGAGGCACAUGAGGUCCUUCUGUGAACAAAUACAAAACUUGACAUCUCUUAUGCCCAAGACGCCAUAAGAUGAGGUCAUAAACACAGCUCUAGGCAAUAUCAGUGGUAGCAUUUUAAUUCUGCACAGUGAGCUAUAUAGUAGAUUUGCUGUCACUUGUGAUGUAACUCUUUUGAUGUGGAUCCUAAGUGAUGCAAUUUGUGCUUUGGGUGCAGGGGAGGCUGCUGAUGGGGGCUAACCUGGCUAUCAAGGGACAUGCUAGCAAGAUAUGCACAAGGGCAAUGUUUGGGCAUAUAUUUUAUGAGUGUGGCGCAUACCAGGUUUUAUAUGAGAAGAAGAACAGAUCAUAUCUUGCAAUACAUACGGAGGUCGAGCGCAAGGAGAAGUGGUGCAGAGUAUCAUACAAGGUCACAAUGAUGGAGGGUGGGAAUGACUUUGACUGUGAGUGUGGGCAGUUCGCCCACAUGGGUAUACUACACACCCAUGUUCUUGAGAAAAUGCGGGUACUGGACUUUAUCCAUGUGAAGCAGAUCCCCGAGACACACAUACUAGCAUAGCACUAGUGAAAAUCUAAAUAGUACCUACAACCUCGGAAGCUUGCUAGGUGCAAGAAUUGUGGGGUUAAGGGCCACAGGAGAAACAACUGCACAAAACCAAUGGAUCUGAGAUUAGGGGGUGUCUGAUGCUGGUGUGAAGUGCAUGGCUGCAGCAGCAGCAUCAGUUCUGACUGAUGAAAACCAAGGAGAGCAAGGGUGUAAUCUAAAGAUAUGUUGAUGUGUUUUGGGCAUUUUCUAUUUAUGUUGUACUCAUGUACUGUGUGGUACCGUCCGGCAGUGAGGCUGACUAUGGAUGUAUCUAUGCAGUGCAUUUCCAGGAUCAGGUGUUUCGAUGUAGAAUUAUUGUUAUUUUCACGUGAUUCAUGGCCCCACCUGGUGUGUGUGAUGCCGGUGACUAGAGUGGCAUGCCUGAGACUGAAUUGCAGUGCUUCUAUGUGUUAUCUGAUACUGAAUUCUGAUGCA